rnacentral:misc_RNA from 1 species
UGUGUGAGUGGUAAAUGGAUAGCACGACUUGGUUGGAUCCCUACUCGUGUAGCGACGUCCUUUCGUGCAUUCCUCUUCAAUUUUUGGCACGAGAGCCUCUUAUGGCCUCGGCCGCGUUGUUGGUUUCCUGUGCUAUAUACCUACAUUGAUGGAAUUUGUUGGCCAAUUCUCCCGAGUUCUUCCACAUCUGCCCGUUAACGCGGUGCGGCUUCGGGUGAACCUGAAAGCGAAAUUCGUGUUCUGACAUGCGUACAAUUGUUAUGCAUGCACGGCCCAUGAACGAUGCGUGACCUUGGGGAUGCAGAAAACGUUGAGGGUAAGGGAUAUUUGACUUCUCUAUUUGCCCCAAAUCGGCAUUACACGCCCCAAUCGAUCGACUCCGCUGUUGUACAGACAUUUAUGUCUUGCGACUCGGUGUCACCGAAGAAUGCUACCUGGUUGAUCCUGCCNGUAGUCAUAUGCUUGUCUCAAAGAUNAAGCCAUGCANGUGUAAGUA